rnacentral:rRNA from 1 species
UACGAAGGGGGCUAGCGUUGCUCGGAAUGACUGGGCGUAAAGGGCGCGUAGGCGGAUGGCUUUGUCGGGCGUGAAAUUCCAGGGCUUAACCUUGGGGCUGCGUUCGAGACGGGUUGUCUUGAGUGGGGAAGAGGGUCGUGGAAUUCCCAGUGUAGAGGUGAAAUUCGUAGAUAUCGGGAGGAACACCGGUGGCGAAGGCGGUUCUCUGGGCCUGUACUGACGCUGAGGAGCGAAAGCGUGGGGAGCGAACAGG